rnacentral:rRNA from 1 species
GCUAAAUGGUGUGGUAUAUAUAUUUAGUUAGAUCUGCUCAAUGAUUAUUUAAAUAGCCGCAGUACUCUGACUGUGCAAAGGUAGCAUAAUCAUUUGGCUUAUAAUUGAAGUCUGGCAUGAAUGAAUUUAUGGGGAACAACUGUCCCUUUUAGUCACGUUGAAAUUACUUAAUAAGUGAAAAUACUUAUAAAUAAAUAAUAGACGAGAAGACCCUAGAAAUUUUAUAUAAUUAGUCUAUAAACUAUAUUAUUUUGUUGGGGCGACAGAAUAACAAAUAACUUAUUUUAUUAUUAGGAAUUAUAUUGUAAGAGAAAAUAAAUUACUCUAGGGAUAACAGCAUAAUAUAUAAAAGUUUGUGACCUCGAUGUUGGACUAGGAUUUUUAAUGACUAGAAGUUAUUAAAGUUAGCUCUGUUCGAGCAGUAUUUCCUACAUGAUCA